rnacentral:rRNA from 1 species
UACGUAGGGGGCAAGCGUUGUCCGGAUUUAUUGGGCGUAAAGAGCGUGUAGGCGGCCAGGUAGGUCCGUUGUGAAAACUCGAGGCUCAACCUCGAGACGUCGGCGGAAACCCUCUGGCUAGAGUCCGGAAGAGGAGAGUGGAAUUCCUGGUGUAGCGGUGAAAUGCGCAGAUAUCAGGAAGAACACCGGUGGCGAAGGCGGAUCUCUGGGCCUUACCUGACGCUGAGGCGCGAAAGCUAGGGGAGCGAACAGG